rnacentral:rRNA from 1 species
CCUGUUUCAAAGAUUAAGCCAUGCAAGUCUAAGUUUAAGCACCUAAACGGCGAAACUGCGAAUGGCUCAUUAAAUCAGUUAUCGUAUAUUUGAUAGUACCUACUACAUGGAUAACCGUGGUAAUUCUAGAGCUAAUACAUGCUUAAAAUCCCGACUUCGGAAGGGAUGUAUUUAUUAGAUUAAAAACCAAUGCCCUUCGGGGCUCACUGGUGAUUCAUAAUAACUUCUCGAAUCGCAUGGCCUUGUGCCGGCGAUGGUUCAUUCAAAUUUCUGCCCUAUCAACUUUCGACGGCUGGGUCUUGGCCAGCCGUGGUUACAACGGGUAACGGAGGGUUAGGGCUUGACCCCGGAGAAGGAGCCUGAGAAACGGCUACUACAUCCAAGGAAGGCAGCAGGCGCGCAAAUUACCCAAUCCCGAUACGGGGAGGUAGUGACAAUAAAUACUGAUACAGGGCUCUUUUGGGUCUUGUAAUUGGAAUGAGUACAAUUUAAAUCCCUUAACGAGGAACAAUUGGAGGGCAAGUCUGGUGCCAGCAGCCGCGGUAAUUCCAGCUCCAAUAGCGUAUAUUAAAGUUGUUGCAGUUAAAAAGCUCGUAGUUGAACCUUGGGCCUGGCUGGCCGGUCUGCCUCACCGCAUGCACUGGUCCGGCCGGGCCUUUCCCUCUGGGGAGCCGCAUGCCCUUCACUGGGUGUGUCGGGGAACCAGGACUUUUACUGUGAAAAAAUUAGAGUGUUCAAAGCAGGCCUAUGCUCGAAUACAUUAGCAUGGAAUAAUAGAAUAGGACGUUGCGGUUCUAUUUUGUUGGUUUCUAGGACCGCCGUAAUGAUUAAUAGGGACAGUCGGGGGCAUCAGUAUUCAAUCGUCAGAGGUGAAAUUCUUGGAUCGAUUGAAGACUAACUACUGCGAAAGCAUUUGCCAAGGAUGUUUUCAUUAAUCAGGAACGAAAGUUAGGGGAUCGAAAACGAUCAGAUACCGUUGUAGUCUUAACCAUAAACUAUGCCGACUAGGGAUCGGGCGAUGUUUUUCUUUGACUCGCUCGGCACCUUACACGAAAGUAAAGUUUUUGGGUUCUGGGGGGAGUAUGGUCGCAAGGCUGAAACUUAAAGGAAAUUGGACGGAAG